CCUACGGGAGGCAGCAGUGGGGAAUAUUGCACAAUGGGGGAAACCCUGAUGCAGCGACGCCGCGUGAGUGAAGAAGUAAUUCGUUACGUAAAGCUCUAUCAGCAGGGAAGAAAUACUGACCUUACGGUCAGCAGACGGUACCUGAGUAAGAAGCCCCGGCUAACUACGUGCCAGCAGCCGCGGUAAUACGUAGGGGGCAAGCGUUAUCCGGAUUUACUGGGUGUAAAGGGAGCGUAGACGGCAGAGCAAGUCUGAAGUGAAAGCCCGCGGCCCAACUGCGGGACUGCUUUGGAAACUGCCCGGCUAGAGUGCUGGAGAGGUAAGCGGAAUUCCUAGUGUAGCGGUGAAAUGCGUAGAUAUUAGGAGGAACACCAGUGGCGAAGGCGGCUUACUGGACAGUAACUGACGUUGAGGCUCGAAAGCGUGGGGAGCAAACAGGAUUAGAUACCCUAGUAGUC
rnacentral:rRNA from 1 species